CUUGGUCAUUUAGAGGAAGUAAAAGUCGUAACAAGGUCUCCGUAGGUGAACCUGCGGAGGGAUCAUUACUGAACGGCGCUCCGGCGCCUUCGAAACGCCUUCAAACCCGUGGACGUCGAACAACGUGCUCCGGCGUCCUCCCUCCCCCCUCGGAGGAGGACGCCGCGUUCAUACAGUCGAAAAGUCGUCUUUCUGUCUGAAUCCGAUAUCGAAAAUCAAAACUUUCAACAAAGGAUCUCUUGGCUCUCGCAUCGAUGAAGAACGCAGCGAAGCGCGAUAUGUAAUGUGAAUCGCAGAACAUUGUGAAUCAUCGAAUCUUUGAACGCACAUUGCGCCUCCCGUCACAGGGAGGCAUGCCUGUCUGAGCGUCAUUAAAACCCAUGCCGGAUCGAUUUCCGAUCGAUGCGUGGCGUGUUGGGCCUUUCGUCGUCUCCGACGUGGCCUCGAAAGCAUCGGUCUAAUUUUGAGCGGACGAGAGAUCCUCUGGGACGANGCCGUUCUCUGGANCCUAAAGACGAUCUGAAAUCGACCUCAGAUCAGGUAGACUACCGCCUGAACUUAAGCAUAUCAUWAGGCNGRGGAACAGAACAACAGGGAUUCCCUAGUAGUGGCGAAUGACCGGGAAAAGCUCAAGUUUGAAUCUKGGCGGGCCCGGCCCUCCAGAGUUGUAAGCUGAAGAGKUCGUGACCGAMGCGGAMCGGCCAAUUCCCUUGGAACAGGGAGUCGUGGAGGGUGAGAACCCCGUACGUGGCCCCGGAAGCCGAUCGUUCCCAGCGUCGCUUCCCUCGAAGAGUCGGGUUGUUUGGGAAUGCAGCUCAAAGCGGGUGGUAAAUCUCAUCUAAAGCUAAAUAUUGGCGAGAGACCGAUAGCAAACAAGUAGAAUGAUCGAAAGAUGAAAAGUACUUUGAAAAGAGAGUGAAACAGUAUGUGAAAUUGUUGAAAUGGAAGCGUUUGGCAUCAGCCCAUGGCGCUCGACGAUCAACCCUGGCCUCGGUCAGGUGCACUUGUCGAGGGUCGGGUCAGCGUCGACUCUGUCCGUCGGAGAAAGGUCGGGCGGACGUGGCUCCUCCGGGAGCGUUAUAACGCCCGACGUCACACGACGCGACGGGGUCGAGGUCCACGGCGUCCCCGACGCCUAGGACGCUGGCGUAAUGGUUCCAAAGCGACCCGUCUUGAAACACGGACC
rnacentral:rRNA from 1 species